GACGAACGCUGGCGGCGUGCUUAACACAUGCAAGUCGAACGGUGAAGCGCCUUCCUUUUUGGUGGGUGUGGAUGAGUGGCGAACGGGUGAGUAACACGUGAGUAACCUGCCCCCUUCUUCUGGAUAACCGCAUGAAAGUGUGGCUAAUACGGGAUAUUCUGGGUCUGUCGCAUGAUGGGUCUGUGAGAGAUAUUGUUUCGGUGGGGGAUGGGCUCGCGGCCUAUCAGCUUGUUGGUGGGGUGAUGGCCUACCAAGGCGGUGACGGGUAGCCGGCCUGAGAGGGUGGACGGUCACACUGGGACUGAGACACGACCCAGACUCCGACGGGAGGCAGCAGUGGGGAAUAGUGCACAAUGGGCGCAAGCCUGAUGCAGCGACGCCGCGUGAGGGAUGGAGGCCUUCGGGUUGUGAACCUCUUUCGCCAGUGAAGCAGGCCUGCCUCGUUUGUGGGUGGGUUGACGGUAGCUGGAUAAGAAGCGCCGGCUAACUACGUG
rnacentral:rRNA from 1 species